AUAGAAAAUACUGGGUAGUGAUUUGAGUUUAUUUCAUAUGGAACUUCUUUGUUCUAAUAAGAUUAAUUUAGAACCGUAUAUUUGCUAAAAUAAUAUUUCAGUUACAUUAUGGGUGUUUCUUUUGGUGUUAUAACAAAUGACGUAAAGUAUGCAACUCUGACUUACAAAGAACUGAUAAACAUGGUGUUUCGAAGUGAUAAGUAUAGAAAAUGAAUUAUGAGGGGAUUAGGACUUCAUGAUUACGAAGAAACGAAGUCGGAUGUAAAUCAAAAUUACACCAAAAAAUUGUACAUCUAAGCUAAUCAACCAGACGAUUCAAUUGUGAUGGUCCCAAAAUCCUUCUUCAUUAAAUCGCCAGAAUAAAACGAAUUGAAGUCCAGCCUGUAGAACGAUACAUUAAACACUUGCAUCCAUUUGAUUUGUUAAAUAAGCUCACCAAAAUACGGGAAAUAAAUCAUCGAAAGGAAGAAAGGAAAGGAAAAUUAAAUUUUUCUUAAACUAAUUGGUGAGGCAAUGAAAUAAGCACCAGUGAGGUUCAAUCACCUCCACCAUCAUAUGAUAUUCCAAAUUCUGAACGCAAUGUAACAUCCUCUGUCGCAGAGCAAAGGCGGCCCUAUAGUGCUGCGCAUCGUCAAAAUGGAACUUUUUCGCAACUUU